rnacentral:rRNA from 1 species
UGAUUAAGCCAUGCGAGUCGAAUGUAGCAAUACAUGGCGAACUGCUCAGUAACACGUGGACAACCUGCCCUUAGGACGGGGAUAAACCCGGGAAACUGGGUAUAAUACCCGAUAGGUCUCGAUUGCUGGAAUGCAUCGAGAUUUAAAGCUCCGGCGCCUAAGGAUGGGUCUGCGGCCUAUCAGGUAGUAGUGGGUGUAGCGUACCUACUAGCCUACGACGGGUACGGGUUGUGAGAGCAAGAGCCCGGAGAUGGAUUCUGAGACACGAAUCCAGGCCCUACGGGGUGCAGCAGGCGCGAAAACUUUACAAUGCUGGCAACAGCGAUAAGGGAACCUCGAGUGCCAGGUUACAAAUCUGGCUGUCGAGAUGCCUAAAAAGCAUUUCAUAGCAAGGGCCGGGCAAGACCGGUGCCAGCCGCCGCGGUAACACCGGCGGCUCGAGUGGUAACCGUUAUUAUUGGGUCUAAAGGGUCUGUAGCCGGCCGGAUAAGUCUCUUGAGAAAUCUGGCAGCUUAACUGUCAGGCUUUCAGGAGAUACUGUCUGGCUCGAGGCCGGGAGAGGUGAGAGGUACUUCAGGGGUAGGGGUGAAAUCUUGUAAUCCUUGAAGGACCACCAGUGGCGAAGGCGUCUCACCAGAACGGACCUGACGGCAAGGGACGAAAGCUAGGGGCACGAACCGGAUUAGAUACCCGGGUAGUCCUAGCCGUAAACGAUACUCGCUAGGUGUCGGCCACGGUGCGACCGUUGUCGGUGCCGUAGGGAAGCCGUGAAGCGAGCCACCUGGGAAGUACGGCCGCAAGGCUGAAACUUAAAGGAAUUGGCGGGGGAGCA